UCUCCGUUGGUGAACCAGCGGAGGGAUCAUUACAGAGUUAUCUAACUCCCAAACCAUUGUGAACUUACCAUAUGUUGCCUCGGCAGAACCUACCCUGUAGCGACCUACCCUGUAGCCCGCCGGUGGACAUCUAAACUCUUGUUAUUCUAUGGAUAUCUGAGCGUCUUAUUUAAUAAGUUAAAACUUUCAACAACGGAUCUCUUGGUUCUGGCAUCGAUGAAGAACGCAGC
rnacentral:misc_RNA from 1 species